CAAUAUAAAAAACCCGGAGCGACAGGAAAACCCAUCAGGAAGUGCCGUUCCAAAAGGCAUUACUUCCGACACCAACCAGAACCAGCCAGAACACCCGUCAUUGCUAGCUUGGAGUGUUGACAUUGACAGCUUUUGAACAUUUGUGGAGCAGGUGCACCAUGGCUUGCCGCAAUGUCACAACUGGUCCUUGGAGAGCCGCUGGUGGUGACGGGCUGCCUGUGUCCUCUCUGCGACAAAACUCCACAAAUACUCCACUCACCAAGUUCCAGAGGGAGAGGAUCACCAGACACCACCGGCCGUACUAAAGGAAGUUGCUCUAUGUAGGGAUGGAACAUGGCAUCUGCACCAGCUGGGACACACUUAGCCAACUGUGAGUAUUGAAGGCUGUUUUAGGGUGUUUGAAAACUUUGAGGGUGUUUAAGGCUACUUUAGGAUGUUUUAAGGUUGUCUCAGGGUAUUUUUAGGCUGAUUUAGAUUGUUUAAGGCUAUUUUAGGGUGUUUUAAGAAUUUUAGGAUGUUUAAGGGAGUUUUAGGCUAUUUUAAGGAUGUUUAAGGCUGUUUUAGUGUUUUUUAAGGCUAUUUUAAGGCUAUUUAAGGGUGUUUAAGACUGUUUCAACUAUUCUAGGCUAUUUUAGGGUGUUUUAAUGGUGUUUCAAGAUAUUUUAAAAUUUUGGCUCCUGAAGUGAUGAAGUGUAUGCCCACGCCAUCGCUCCAUCAGUGCUUCAUCUACUCGCUUUGUGUGUUUUUUAUGAUUCAGUAACAAAGUGACUAAAGGCCGUACCAAGAAUCGCGAAGGCCAAGGCACGGACCUUCCCUUCGACCAGCAAGGCAAAGCCUUCGUCGCCCUUACCUUCAAUCCGUACCAAGAGUCGCCGUGGAAGAUUGUGUUAAGAAUA